CGCAUAGUAGGAUAUUUAAUUAGGCAGCCACGCGGAGUGGUGGCGCAUAGUAGGCUAUUUACUUAGGCAGGCACGCGGAGUGGUGGCGCAUAGUAGGCUAUUUACUUAGGCAGCCACGCGGAGUGGUGGCGCAUAGUAGGCUAUUUACUUAGGCAGGCACUUGGAGUGGUGGCGCAUAGUAGGCUAUUUACAUAUCCAGCCACAUGGAGUGGUGGCGCAUAGUAGGCUAUUUACAUAUCCAGCCACAUGGAGUGGUGGCGCAUAGUAGGCUAUUUACUUAGCCAGCCACGCGGAGUGGUGGUGCAUAGUAGGCUAUUUACUUAGGCAGCCACGCGGAGUGGUGGCGCAUAGUAGGAUAUUUAAUUAGGCAGCCACGCGGAGUGGUGGCGCAUAGUAGGAUAUUUAAUUAGGCAGCCACGCGGAGUGGUGGCGCAUAGUAGGCUAUUUACUUAGCCAGCCACGUGGAGUGGUGGCGCAUAGUAGGAUAUUUAAUUAGGCAGCCACGCGGAGUGGUGGCGCAUAGUAGGAUAUUUAAUUAGGCAGCCACGUGGAGUGGUGGCGCAUAGUAGGAUAUUUAAUUAGGCAGCCACGCGGAGUGGUGGCGCAUAGUAGGCUAUUUACUUAGGCAGGCACGCGGAGUGGUGGCGCAUAGUAGGCUAUUUACUUAGGCAGCCACGCGGAGUGGUGGCGCAUAGUAGGCUAUUUACUUAGGCAGGCACGCGGAGUGGUGGUGCAUAGUAGGCUAUUUACUUAGUGGGCGCUAGAUCUGCACGACUGUCUGAUUGAUUUGCAUUCCCAGUAAUACAUACACUGGUUUCCCCUGUGGACUGGCUCGCACAUAAAACGUCCUUCAUUCAGGCUGAAAAGUUGUCAUUUCCCUCCUUCUCUCUCUUUAAUAGUCUUAAUAAACUAUUUUUUUCCAUCACCAUUGGCUGAACGCGCUGUGCAACAUCGCUGGCUACUUUUUCUGGCUGGUUACUUUUUCUAUUUGGCGGGAAACACUGGGAAAGGUGGGCUGUUCUUGCUGUGGGGUGAGUUGUUGACCAAUGAUGUGUGUCUUGCUGAGACUGAUGGAGUUGUAGACGGAGGAGACAGGCUCAGUGAAUGCUGCAUGGAUUCUGGUGAGUGGGAGAGGAGAUAUUGCUGUGCAAAGAUGUGUUGAGUUGAGGUCUUGCUGGUUGGUGGCUUGGAGGCAUUGGAGGUUGAAUAGAUUGUCAUCCAGCCAGAACUGCUUUAUUUACCCAACAUUAAUCUCUUCAUGGUACAGACGGCUCAAAGGCACUCAGCUCUGACAGAGCGGUGGACUGGGCCUGGGGGUUAACUAGGUGAGCAGUGGACUGGGCCUGGGGGUUAACUAGUUGAGCAGUGGACUGGGCCUGGGGGUUAACUAGGUGAGCAGUGGACUGGGCCUGGGGGUUAACUAGGUGAGCAGUGGACUGGGCCUGGGGGUUAACGAGGUGAGCAGUGGACUGGGCCUGGGGGUUAACUAGGUGAGCAGUGGACUGGGCCUGGGGGUUAACUAGGUGAGCAGUGGACUGGGCCUGGGGGUUAACAAGGUGAGCAGUGGACUGGGCCUGGGGGUUAACUAGGUGAGCAGUGGACUGGGCCUGGGG